UACGAAGGGGGCUAGCGUUGUUCGGAUUUACUGGGCGUAAAGCGCACGUAGGCGGAUAGUUAAGUGAGGGGUGAAAUCCCGGGGCUCAACCUCGGAACUGCCUUUGAUACUGCAAAUCUCGAGUCCGAUAGAGGUGGGUGGAAUUCCUAGUGUAGAGGUGAAAUUCGUAGAUAUUAGGAAGAACACCGGUGGCGAAGGCGGCCCACUGGAGCGGUACUGACGCUGAGGUGCGAAAGCGUGGGGAGCAAACAGG
rnacentral:rRNA from 1 species